UUAUAUUAAGUUUUCAAAUUUUUUGUUAUUGUUGUUGUUUAGGAUUUUGUGCCUUUUGCAUCAUGCUUAAUUGAUUUUAUUAAAUUUGUUUUUUUACCGAAAAAUUUAGAUUUCUAGUAAUGUUGUUUAGCAUUUUAUGUUAUCAAGUAGAUGUUGAUAAAUUUUGCUGGUGAUGUGAUAAAUUAAUCGUUAGAUUUUAUAUCUGUUUAGUGAUUAUUUUUUAUUUUUACUCUGUUGGUUUUGAUAUCUUUGGAGUUUACAUACUUAGGAAGCGUUUUUUUUAAAAAUAGGUUAAAAGUACUUAGUUUUUAUAAUAUUGUUAAAAAUUUGGUUUAUUGGUGUAUUAUUAGUUGUUUAUUUUUAUCACUUUUGUUAAUAAUUUGUAAUUAUUUUAUUGUUAAAUAAGUAGUUUUUAUUGUAUCAAUUAUUUCUCAUAAAUUGUCCGUCUGUUUAUUAAAAACAUUUCCAUGUUGUUAAUUUUACAUGGUAGUACCUGCUCUAUGUUUUUAUAAAUGGCCGCAGUAUAUUGACUGUGCGAAGGUAGCAUAAUUAAUUGCCUUGUAAUUUAAGGCUUGUUUGAAUGGUUUGACGAGAUAAUGUUUAAUAUUUGGUGUUUUGUUGAAAUUGAUUUUGAUGGUUUAGAAUCCUCAAUUAAUUAAUUAGACGGAAAGACCCCGGGAUCUUUUAUUUUGCCUGGGGCGGGUAUUUUUUUUUCAAAAAUAUUAUGACCCUUUAUAGUAUAUUGAGUUAAGUUACCCCGGGGAUAACAGUGUAAUAAUUAAUUAGAGUUCAUAUCGAAUUAGUUGGUUGCCACCUCGAUGUUGACUUAGGUAAAUAUAAUGGGCGCAGUUGUUUGUUAUUUAGGUCUGUUCGACCUGUAUUACCUCCAUGAGUUGAGUUAAGACCGGCGUGAGCCAGGUCGGUUCUUAUCUAUUUGUGUUACCUAUUAGUACGAAAGGAUUGUAGGUUAUUUUUUU
rnacentral:rRNA from 1 species